GCAUAUUUUUGAGGGACUGUCAUUAGGUAGGCGCAUUCUAGUUCCACCAUGGCUUGUCUUCGUGUUCUGAUUGUUUUAAUGGUAACUGCUGCAAUGCUGUUGCAAGUUGAAGGAAAAAACGUUCCUAUUAGGGAGACAGUUUCAGACUGCACCAACGAAUAUGAAUCCCUGUGUGGAACGGUCAUAACCAAAGAGCAUUGCCAAGAAAGUCGUAAAACUACACGGUUUGGUUACUUUGCACGGCAUAUGUGCACUCAAUACUGCGGAUUGUGCUAACUGAAGCCUUCAUAAAGGUAGCUCUAUAUGGCAUCAUAUAUCUCAUUAAUGUGACGACUAAUCUAGCAAAGAAGUGAAUACAUCAACACGUAAUAACUACAAACGGGAAGAAGAAAUAUCAAAUUCAUCCAUAGAAUAUCAUAAUACAAUCAUACAAAGUAAAAAUAUGAAAUUUCAAUUGUUAUUUUGGAUUUAUUUUCCCGUUAUCAUUUUUUUAAUUAAGCACUCUUAAAGUUGGUUGACUUUUUUCAACAUAGUGCCAGUGUGACAAUUAAUAAUAAUAUGGCUAAAAUCAAUAAAGAUGUAAAGGGUAUCUCGUCAAAA